CCUACGCGAGGCAGCAGUGAGGAAUAUUGGUCAAUGGACGAGAGUCUGAACCAGCCAAGUAGCGUGAAGGAUGACUGCCCUAUGGGUUGUAAACUUCUUUUCUCUGGGAAUAACAUGUUCCACGUGUGGGUUUUUGUAUGUACUAUAUGAAUAAGGAUCGGCUAACUCCGUGCCAGCAGCCGCGGUAAUACGGAGGAUCCGAGCGUUAUCCGGAUUUAUUGGGUGUAAAGGGAGCGUAGGUGGAUUGUUAAGUCAGUUGUGAAAGUUUGCGGCUCAACCGUAACAUUGCAGUUGAAACUGGCAGUCUUGAGUACAGUAGAGGUGUGCGGAAUUCGGAGUGUAGCGGUGAAAUGCUUAGAUAUCACGAAGAACUCCGAUUGCGAAGGCAGUUCACUGGACGGCAACUGACACUGAGGCACGAAAGUGUGGGUAUCAAACAGGAUUAGAUACCCCGGUAGUC
rnacentral:rRNA from 1 species